GGGGGAAAGGGAAGGGCAUGCAGAAGAGAUGUCUGGCAAACGCGGCCUUGCCAGUCCUUAAAUGUUUUCAUCUUUUGUUCACAGGAGAACUGCUGAGUCAGCCGAGACCAGAGGGAUUGACGGAGAUCAUCUGUCCCAAGAACGGCAGCGAGCGAGUUAAUGUUGCCUUGGUUUACCCCCCCACUCCUACUGUGAUCAGCCCUUGUUCCAAAUAAAUCAUCAGUACUGGUGCCAAAGGUUUUCCACUGGGAAGAACGUGGCUGAUGCUCUACAGUGUUCCCAUCUCUCCGGUUGUGGAGUUGCAUGCCGAUGGGGAACAAUGGGACUUUGGACUCCGAGAUGCUGCGGGGCUGGGGCAGCUCCCUGCUGGGGACCUCGUGGCUGGAGCGGACACAAUCACCUGGAAGCUGGGGACGACAAUGAGACAUGAAGCAAAAGGAUUGCUGCAGAUGGCAGGGCCACGGGCCCAAGGGAAAGCACUGGGGAUAGGAUUCUGUGGACCCACUGAUUGUGUGUUGAAAACCCAUUUGGAUCUCAUGAUGAAUGUAAAAAAUGUUCUUGAUACCAUUUAAUUCAGACCUGCUUGGAGGAAAGUCUCUUGAAAUGAGCUGUAGCAGGAUUCCCUGGAAUUGUUCCUGGACAAGAAGAAAAUAGUAAUUUGUUGCUGUGCUGUUGCAUGGAAUCCACGUUGCAAAGAAAUCACCAACUGGAAUCCUUUUCCAGCCGGAGGCCCGUUUCCCAGCGCACCCAUCUGGUGCGGGGUGCGCGAGUGUCGAAGGAGCAAGAGGACAGAGCAGAUGUCGUACAGCCUACUCC